ACACCUGAAACCUGAGCAGCUGCUCCCUAAUUUCCCAGAACUCACCGAACCACCAUGUCCGGCAUCGCUGCCACUCUGCAGCGCUACCGGGAUCAGAACCUGGGCAUCGGAACCAGCACUUGGGCCGUGAAGUACCUGAACCAGGACUACGAGGUUCUGAGGCAGAGCUGCUUCCAAACGGGUCAGCUGUUCCAGGACGACUCCUUUCCGGCCGGGUCCUCCUCUCUGGGCUAUAACGAACUGGGCCCGAACUCCUCCAAGGUCCGCGGGGUGUCCUGGAAGCGGCCCACGGAGCUGGUAUCUGAUCCAGAGUUCAUCUUGCUCGGAGCCAGCAGGACCGACAUUUGUCAGGGCGCUCUGGGUGACUGCUGGCUGCUCGCUGCCAUUGCUUGUCUGACCCUGAAUAAGGAGGUUCUGGCCCGAGUCGUCCCUCAUGGCCAGAGCUUCAGGACUGGAGAAUACGCCGGCAUCUUCCACUUCCAGUUCUGGCAGUUUGGGGAAUGGGUAGACGUGGUGAUUGACGACCUGCUGCCAGUUCGAGGAGAGGAGCUGCUAUUUGUCCACUCGGCUGAGGGGAGGGAGUUCUGGAGCGCCCUGCUAGAGAAGGCCUACGCCAAGUUGAAUGGCUGUUAUGAGGCUCUGUCUGGAGGAUCGACCACCGAGGGCUUUGAGGAUUUCACAGGAGGAAUUGCAGAGGUGCACGAGCUGAGCCGACCUGAUCCACACCUGUUCCAGGUUAUCCAGAAAGCGCUGGGCCGAGGCUCGCUGACAGGCUGCUCCAUCGAAAUAACAAGUUCAGUCGACUCUGAAGCCAUCACCUCCAAGAAACUGGUGAAAGGCCACGCGUACUCUGUGACAUGUGCAGCUGAGGUGGGUUACCAUGGUGACAGAGAGAAGCUGAUUCGAAUCAGGAACCCCUGGGGUCAGGUGGAGUGGACUGGAGCCUGGAGUGAUAACUCGAUUCAGUGGCGUUGGGUCAGUGAUGAGGACCGUCAGCGUCUGAGCCAUUGUUCAGAGGAUGGAGAGUUCUGGAUGUCUUUCUCAGACUUCCUGCAUCACUUCUCCCGGCUGGAGAUCUGCAACCUAACGCCCGAUGCGCUGAGUGACAAUGAUGUUUCCAAGUGGGCUUUGUCCAAGUUCGAAGGAAGCUGGCGGAGAGGAUCCACCGCAGGAGGCUGCAGGAACUAUCCCGACUCCUUCUGGACCAACCCGCAGUUUGUAAUCCGGCUGAACGAGGAGGACGAUGACCCGGAUGAUGGCGAGGCCGGCUGCAGCUUUGUGGUGGGUCUGAUCCAAAAGAACCGCAGAAGAAUGCGGAAGAUGGGCGAGGACAUGCUGACUAUUGGCUUUGCCAUCUACGAGGUUCCUGAUGAGUUCUCUGGUCAGAGGAACAUCCACCUGGACAGAAACUCCUUCCUGCGUCACGCUGCCGCCGCCAGCUCUGAAUCCUUCAUCAACCUCCGAGAAGUCUGCAGGCGCUUCUGUCUGCCGCCGGGAGAGUACCUGAUCAUCCCGUCCACCUUCCAGCCCAGCGAGAACGGAGACUUCUGCAUACGAGUGUUCUCCGAGAAGCAGGCCGACUUCCAGGAGGUGGAGAACCCCGUCGAGUCCCGUGUAGAGAAGAUUGAGAUUGAUGAGGACGGUGUGGACGACCACUUCAGAGGUCUGUUUGGACAGCUGGCGGGACAGGACUGGGAGAUCAGCGCCUUCGAGCUGCAGAAGAUUCUCAACAAAGUAGUGACCAAACGGUCGGACAUCCUGACUGACGGCUUCUGCAUCUCCACCUGUCGGAACAUGAUCAACCUGCUGGACAAAGACGGCAGUGGGAAACUGGGCCUGCUGGAGUUCCGAGUUCUGUGGACCAAGAUCGAGAACUACCUGGUGAGUGUUUCUAUGGAAACCUGCAGGAUCCAAAUGGUCUACUCAGGUAUGAGGGAUAUUCCAUGGAUCAGGAUUCAGGGAGUCUUGCUCAUUUCGAUGAGUCUGGUUCAUCAAAGUGAGAGUUCUGUUCCAUCAUCGUGGACCAGCUGAGCUUUGGGUCAUCAUUGUGCUUAAAUCAGUUUCCAGCACUAGAAGGUGUAAAAUCACCUGAACGCUCCUUCUUUGUGUUCAUGCCUCAAUGACUCAUUAAUGUUAGAGUAGCUACCGGUCUGUGCCGGACCAGGAUAGGUCCAGCUGGGUUACCGUGGUAACUAGCGCUGUUGAACCGGUCUGUGCCGGACCAGGAUAGGUCCAGCUGGGUUACCGUGGUAACCAGCUUUGUAGAACCGGUCUGUGCCGGACCAGGAUAGGUCCAGCUGGGUUACCGUGGUAACCAGCUUUGUAGAACCGGUCUGUGCCGGACCAGGAUAGGUCCAGCUGUGUUACCGUGGUAACCAGCGCUGUUGAACCGGUCUUUGCCGGACCAGGAUAGCGGUCUGGAACCAGUCUGGAUGGAACGUCUGAACUGGUUGGUGGAUUCAAGAGGAGAUGGAACUGGUUUCAGACUGUCUCAGGUGAGUCUCUGGAGUCGACCGGACUCUGGAUCAGCUGUGACCUGAUGAUGUUGUUGACCUGUUGAUGCUGUCGUGGUCCAGAACAUCUACCGGGCCAAGGACGUGGACAACACUGGGACGAUGAGCU